AAGCCAUCAACAAUGAGCAGGCUGGUGACCAAAGGAGGCCUUCUUUACUGUGGGGUGUCUUCUGAUGCAGCAGUGAGGGAGGGCAGUCACUGAGACCACAAAGUCCCUGCCCACCGAGAAUGCCACCUGGACCCAAGGCCAAACCAGCUGGCUGAGCAGGGCAGGGGGAAGAACGGACUAUAUGAGAGGCUUCCUCUG
rnacentral:lncRNA from 1 species